GCUCCUCUGGAGUUGCAGGCGUACAUAGGCUACGGAGACUGCUUACCAUCAGGCGGGCCGUAUGCUUGUUUGCCACCGACGCAGUUUAAAAAAAAACAGUUUCCACUUAUAGGUAACACAAUUCUUGCUCUGAGAGAAACAACAUGCAUGCAU